GAGCAAAUAACUCAGUGGAAAGAGUGUAUGUUUCCGAAACAUAAAGUCGUGGGUUCAAAUCCCACUUUGCUCUC
rnacentral:tRNA from 1 species